UCUAGCUCAGAACAUAAAAAAACAUCAGGUCUCAUGUCUUCUGUCCAUGUGUCUUUUUUCCACUGCCAUGCCUGAAUUUCCAGUUUUUGGGACAAUGAAGGAUGCAAAAUGGAAAGGGCGAUACUGGCUACUGUUGGAUUAAGUACACCGGCCUGCUCCUGCAUAUCUAUUGAAGGCCCAUCUUACCCCGGUUCCAGAUUUGGCAGUAAAUGAGGAAUACGUUAAUCAGAGGUAAAACAUUGCAAUAUGCAUAUUUGAUUUAUUAGUAAUUAAAUAUGGAGACAGAGUAUUACAUUACCAUUUGUAGUGUUCAUUAUAUGGUGGCCUCAUGGUGAUGCAGAAUUCUGUCUAACUUUCACAAGUCUGAACACAUCUUUUUAAGGGUGUACUGCUAAAACUGUGGGCCUGUUUAA